UUAAACAUAUAAGGGAAAUGUCUUUUCGCUAGGGGAUGAGACUAUAUGAUAUCAGGUAGUUGGUAGGGUAAGAGCCUACCAAGCCAAUGACAUCUAGCUGGUCUGAGAGGAUGAUCAGCCACACUGGAACUGAGACACGGUCCAGACUCCUACGGGAGGCAGCAGUGGGGAAUAUUGCACAAUGGAGGAAACUCUGAUGCAGCAACGCCGCGUGGAGGAUGACGCAUUUCGGUGUGUAAACUCCUUUUAUAUGGGAAGAUAAUGACGGUACCAUAUGAAUAAGCACCGGCUAACUCCGUGCCAGCAGCCGCGGUAAUACGGAGGGUGCAAGCGUUACUCGGAAUCACUGGGCGUAAAGCGCGCGCAGGCGGGUUUGUAAGUUGGAAGUGAAAUCCACUGGCUUAACCAGUGAACUGCUUCCAAAACUACUUACCUAGAGUCUGGGAGGGGAAGAUGGAAUUAGUUGUGUAGGGGUAAAAUCCGUAGAGAUAACUAGGAAUACCAAAAGCGAAGGCGAUCUUCUGGAACAGUACUGACGCUGAGGCGCGAAAGCGUGGGGAGCAAACAGGAUUAGAUACCCUGGUAGUCCACGCCCUAAACGAUGAAUGUUAGUCGUCGGGAUGCAAGUCAUUUCGGUGAUGCAGUUAACACAUUAAACAUUCCGCCUGGGGAGUACGGUCGCAGGAUUAAAACUCAAAGGAAUAGACGGGGACCCGCACAAGUGGUGGAGCAUGUGGUUUAAUUCGAAAAUACGCGAAGAACCUUACCUAGCCUUGACAUUGAUAGAAUACUGUAGAGAUACGGUAGUGCCCUUCGGGGAGCUUGAAAACAGGUGCUGCACGGCUGUCGUCAGCUCGUGUCGUGAGAUGUUGGGUUAAGUCCCGCAACGAGCGCAACCCUCGUCACUAGUUACUAACGAUUCGGUCGAGGACUCUAGUGAGACUGCCUUCGUAAGGAGGAGGAAGGUGAGGACGACGUCAAGUCAUCAUGGCCCUUACGGCUAGGGCGACACACGUGCUACAAUGGUUAGGACAAUGAGAGGCGAUACCGCGAGGUGGAGCAAAUCUAUAAACCUAAUCUCAGUUCGGAUUGUAGUCUGCAACUCGACUACAUGAAGCUGGAAUCACUAGUAAUCGUAGAUCAGCCAUGCUACGGUGAAUACGUUCCCGGGUCUUGUACUCACCGCCCGUCACACCAUGGGAGUUGAUUUCACCCGAAGCGGGGAAGCUAAACUGGCUACCCUCCACGGUGGAAUUAGCGACUGGGGUGAAGUCGUAACAAGGUA
rnacentral:rRNA from 1 species